GGUCUCGAUGAUCGCGCCGGUGCCCCGCGAGGGGCUUCAAUGGGAAUGCGGUGCGGGGUUCUCCCCAAAUCCGCGGCUGUCCCUGCAACUGUGAGCGGUGAGCGACGGCAUCAGGCUCUUUCGGGAGCAGCCACUGGAUCGACGCAUCUGCGGAUGUGUCCUCUGGGAAGGCGAUGCCGCAGCGUUGACCCGCAAGCCAGGAGACCUGCCGGCGAUAUGGUCGCUCU
rnacentral:ncRNA from 1 species